rnacentral:pre_miRNA from 1 species
GCUGACUCCUAGUCCAGAGCCCGUGGUGGCCGUGGGGCCCUGAACUUGGGGUCUGGAG